UACGUAGGGUGCAAGCGUUGUCCGGAAUUAUUGGGCGUAAAGAGCUCGUAGGCGGUUUGUUGCGUCGGCUGUGAAAUCCCGAGGCUCAACCUCGGGUCUGCAGUCGAUACGAGCAAACUAGAGUGUUGCAGGGGAGACUGGAAUUCCUGGUGUAGCGGUGAAAUGCGCAGAUAUCAGGAGGAACACCGGUGGCGAAGGCGGCGACCUGGGUAGAUACUGACGCUGAGGCGCGAAAGCGUGGGGAGCAAACAGG
rnacentral:rRNA from 1 species